UGCAACUUGGAUUGACACAAAAAAGGAACGAAUUGAAACUUGACGCCGUUCCGACAGUGUUCCACGAACAAAGCGAGCCAGCAACUUCGACACUGCAGGCAGCUCGACAGGGUCAAGCGCAAGUGAAGGACCAGGUGCUGCUGAUCCAAGUCCCAUCCAUCCAUGAAACGGCAUCAAACAAUGAUCUUCCAGAACAGUGCUUUCUUCGUCC